CCCUGGCCCUGCGCCGGCCCCGCCUGGCCGGGCCCGGGCGGGGUCUGGGUCUGGCUGGGGAGGGUGAAGUCGGUGAACUCGAACUCGGAGCCCUGCGUGUCGGCGCCGAGCAGCUCGGCCUCCUCGGUGUCCAGGAAGGAUAAAGCCCGGCCUGAAUCAACGUGUUCCAGAUCUGCAGCUGCUGGGCUGAAAAGACGGAGACUGGAAAACGGCCUGGGAACAUUGUGCAGCAAAAAGGAGGGGAAAAAACAAAUCCAGGGAACACAGGAGCAUCACCACUUCUGCAGAGAGGCUGAAUCCGUGUCGGUUUUAAGCAGAAUAAACUGUUCAGACCAAAGAGUAACGGGGAGAAAGCGUGAAAUAACAUUUGAGCAUGAAAGUGGAACCAGAGGGGAGGAAAAAAAACCCAGUACAAAGCCAGGUGGCUGCUUGCUGCAAACACCUUUAUUUAUUAAUAAACACAACACACUCCAAA